GACGUGGAUAACCUCGGGAAACUGAGGAUAAACCGCGAUAGGCCAUGAUUUCUGGAAUGGUUCAUGGCUGAAAUCUAUAUGGCCCCUGGAUUGGACUGCGGCCGAUCAGGCUGUUGGUGAGGUAAUGGCCCACCAAACCUGUAACCGGUACGGGCUCUGAGAGGAGGAGCCCGGAGAUGGGCACUGAGACAAGGGCCCAGGCCCUAUGGGGCGCAGCAGGCGCGAAAUCUCUGCAAUAGGCGAAAGCUUGACAGGGUUACUCUGAGUGAUUCCCGCUAAGGGGAUCUUUUGGCACCUUUAAAAAUGGUGCAGAAUAAGGGGUGGGCAAGUCUGGUGUCAGCCGCCGCGGUAAUACCAGCACCCCGAGUGGUCGGGGCGAUUAUUGGGCCUAAAGCAUCCGUAGCCGGUGCUGCAAGUCUUCCGUUAAAUCCACCUGCUUAACAGUUGGGCUGCGGGGGAUACUACAGCGCUAGGAGGCGGGAGAGGCAAGCGGUACUCAAUGGGUAGGGGUAAAAUCCGCUGAUCCACUGAAGACCACCAGUGGCGAAGGCGGCUUGCCAGAACGCGCUCGACGGUGAGGGAUGAAAGCUGGGGGAGCAAACCGGAUUAGAUACCCGGGUAGUCCCAGCUGUAAACGAUGCAGACUCGGUGAUGGGCUGGCCUUGUGCCAACCCAGUGCCGCAGGGAAGCCGUUAAGUCUGCCGCCUGGGGAGUACGAUCGCAAGACUGAAACUUAAAGGAAUUGGCGGGA
rnacentral:rRNA from 1 species